rnacentral:rRNA from 1 species
GACGAACGCUGGCGGCGUGCUUAACACAUGCAAGUCGAACGGAAAGGCCCUGCUUUUGUGAGGUGCUCGAGUGGCGAACGGGUGAGUAACACGUGAGUAACCUGCCCUUGACUUUGGGAUAACUUCAGGAAACUGGGGCUAAUACCGGAUAGGAUCUCCUGCUGCAUGGUGGGGGUUGGAAAGUUUCGGCGGUUGGGGAUGGACUCGCGGCUUAUCAGCUUGUUGGUGGGGUAGUGGCUUACCAAGGCUUUGACGGGUAGCCGGCCUGAGAGGGUGACCGGCCACAUUGGGACUGAGAUACGGCCCAGACUCCUACGGGAGGCAGCAGUGGGGAAUAUUGCACAAUGGGCGGAAGCCUGAUGCAGCAACGCCGCGUGCGGGAUGACGGCCUUCGGGUUGUAAACCGCUUUCGCAUGUGACGAAGCGUGAGUGACGGUAAUGGGUAAAGAAGCACCGGCUAACUACGUG